rnacentral:rRNA from 1 species
UACAGAGGUCUCGAGCGUUGUUCGGAUUCAUUGGGCGUAAAGGGUGCGUAGGUGGCGCUGUAAGUCAGGUGUGAAAUUUCGGAGCUUAACUCCGAAACUGCAUUUGAUACUGCGGUGCUUGAGGACUGGAGAGGAGACUGGAAUUUACGGUGUAGCAGUGAAAUGCGUAGAGAUCGUAAGGAAGACCAGUGGCGAAGGCGGGUCUCUGGACAGUUCCUGACACUGAGGCACGAAGGCCCAGGGGAGCAAAACGGG